rnacentral:rRNA from 1 species
CGGCGGCAGUCUACACAUGCAGUCGAGCGGUAGAGAGAAGCUUGCUUCUCUUGAGAGCGGCGGACGGGUGAGUAAUGCCUAGGAAUCUGCCUGGUAGUGGGGGAUAACGUUCGGAAACGGACGCUAAUACCGCAUACGUCCUACGGGAGAAAGCAGGGGACCUUCGGGCCUUGCGCUAUCAGAUGAGCCUAGGUCGGAUUAGCUAGUUGGUGAGGUAAUGGCUCACCAAGGCGACGAUCCGUAACUGGUCUGAGAGGAUGAUCAGUCACACUGGAACUGAGACACGGUCCAGACUCCUACGGGAGGCAGCAGUGGGGAAUAUUGGACAAUGGGCGAAAGCCUGAUCCAGCCAUGCCGCGUGUGUGAAGAAGGUCUUCGGAUUGUAAAGCACUUUAAGUUGGGAGGAAGGGUUGUAGAUUAAUACUCUGCAAUUUUGACGUUACCGACAGAAUAAGCACCGGCUAACUCUGUGCCAGCAGCCGCGGUAAUACAGAGGGUGCAAGCGUUAAUCGGAAUUACUGGGCGUAAAGCGCGCGUAGGUGGUUUGUUAAGUUGGAUGUGAAAUCCCCGGGCUCAACCUGGGAACUGCAUUCAAAACUGACUGACUAGAGUAUGGUAGAGGGUGGUGGAAUUUCCUGUGUAGCGGUGAAAUGCGUAGAUAUAGGAAGGAACACCAGUGGCGAAGGCGACCACCUGGACUAAUACUGACACUGAGGUGCGAAAGCGUGGGGAGCAAACAGGAUUAGAUACCCUGGUAGUCCACGCCGUAAACGAUGUCAACUAGCCGUUGGAAGCCUUGAGCUUUUAGUGGCGCAGCUAACGCAUUAAGUUGACCGCCUGGGGAGUACGGCCGCAAGGUUAAAACUCAAAUGAAUUGACGGGGGCCCGCACAAGCGGUGGAGCAUGUGGUUUAAUUCGAAGCAACGCGAAGAACCCUUACCAGGCCUUGACAUCCAAUGAACUUUCUAGAGAUAGAUUGCUGCCCUUCGGGAACAUUGAAGACAGGUGCUGCAUGGCCUGUCGUCAG